UUUAUGGUCAGUAACCAGCCUGUGACCUGAAGCUCCUUUAAAUCCCCUGAUGGAAAAAUCAGUGACUUGAUGUUCAGGCAAGGACUACCAUAGCAGGAGGGAAGGAAGUACCACAGCAUUUCUGAGAGAGACUCUGGCAAUGGAUCAGACUCUUCUUUACUUUGUUUAUCCUUUAAUGCUGGAAUUUGGGGUCAUCCUAUGACACAGACUGCUCAGGUUCCUAGUGGUUCAGUUGCAGUUGAGCAACUGGGAUGGCACUGGACCAUAUCUGUAGGUCCCAGAGAGCAAGGCUGUCAUGGGCUGGUGAGGCUUCUGUAUCUUUGUCCUCUUUCUGCAGCGAUUGUGGGGGCCUCAUGUGGAGAAGUAAGACCACUGCUAACAUGGCCUGGACUGCUAAAUAGUGCCCAGAAGGAGAUGAAAACUCCCCAGGACAUCUGCUCAACUUGGGCCACAUUUCCCACAAGCAGUAAGCCCAGCCCCCUUCCACACUGGACCUCAGGUCAGACUGCUUACAGGAAUCUGUGUGAAGGUAUAAAUCAUCUCCCUACCCCAUUUA
rnacentral:lncRNA from 1 species